UUAAAGUCUAACCUGCCCACUGAAUUUUUAAAUGGCCGCAGUAUUCUAACUGUGCAAAGGUAGCAUAAUCAUUAGUCUUUUAAUUGAAGGCUGGAAUGAAUGGUUGGACGAAAUAUUAACUGUUUCAUUUUAAUUUUUUAUAGAAUUUUAUUUUUUAGUCAAAAAGCUAAAAUUUUAUUAAAAGACGAGAAGACCCUAUAAAUCUUUAUAUUUUAUUUAUUUAAAUUUUAAAGAUUAAUUUAAUUUUUAUAAAAAAAAAUAUUUUAUUGGGGUGAUAUUAAAAUUUAUUAAACUUUUAAUUAAUUAAACCAUUAAUUUAUGAGUAAUUGAUCCAUUAAUAAUGAUUAAAAAUUUAAGUUACUUUAGGGAUAACAGCGUAAUUUUUUUGGAGAGUUCAUAUCGAUAAAAAAGAUUGCGACCUCGAUGUUGGAUUAAGAUAUAAUUUUGGGUGUAGCCGUUCAAAUUUUAAGUCUGUUCGACUUUUAAAUUCUUACAUGAUCUGAGUUCAAACCGGCGUAAGCCAGGUUGGUUUCUAUCUUUAAAAAAUUAUAAUAUUUUAGUACGAAAGGACCAAAUAUUAAAAUUAUUAAAUUUUAAAAAUUGAAUAUUAUUAAUAAUA
rnacentral:rRNA from 1 species